UUUUUCUCCUCUCUCACGCUCUCCUACUCCCCUCUCUUUCAAAUUUCAAUUGGUUUUUGAAGAAAGCCCAGAAGCUACAACUUGAAGGCACCAAUCAAAGAACACAAGUUUGCAAUUGGGAGAGAGAGUUCUGCUUAGAAGACGAAGGAAUUGGGAGAGAGAGUUCAGAGUUUCUGCCCUUGGUUGUUGACCGAAGCUAGAAUCACAGACUGAUCGGUGUUCGGUGUUUGCUUGCUUUUGGCCUUUACUGAAGAUCAUGAUAAUGGAGGAAUGUGUUAGAUGGUUACAACAUGGAGAAGACUGUAAAAGUACUUGGGCCCCCUCCCUCUAUGAACUAGAGAACUUCAUUUGAUUACCAUUAGUUGUUAGUUCAGUUAGAAAGCAAUUGAUAAUUGUUAUAUAACUUGAACGAGGUGAUAUACCCGCAGCAAAGCGCGGGAUCUCUAACUAGUAUAUGACAUUGUGUGGCGGAUCAUGCUAGCUGGGGCAGAUGACAGAGCACCUUUAGGAACCUAAGGGGCCUCCAUAGAUUUCUCCUUCUCUAAAUGUUUGCCACCUGUUGAUCUGCCCAGCCACCACCUCUCAAAAUUAGCUGGGAUGGGUUGUAUCAGUUUUGCGCUAGGAGGACGUAGAGAGAGAGGGGGAGAGCAAUUGGAGCAAGAUCACAUUUGGUGUUAUGAGAUGGAUUUCCGUUGGCGAUUUGAGAGAUUGAGAAGUAAUCGGUCGUCUAAAGAGAAAGGAGGAUUUGAUUGAGCUAUCAAGGAUCUUUCACAGAUUGAUCGAGCUGUAGGCUAAGUUUUUGGGAUUGAAGGCAGAAUUGGAUGAGGAACAUGGGUUGAAUCUGGAGCUGCAGUCACAAAGUAGAAAGCUUGGAGCACUACUUUUGGUCUUCAGACAGCAUUGCUCUGGAGAAAUUUGAGAGAAAGUGGCAUGAAGUAACAAACCAAGUGGGGGAACAGAUCACCUUGAGUACUAUUUUGGUAAUGUUCAGGAGCUGUUGCAAUUGCUGUUGGAGGCCUCACAAAACAAGAGGUUUGUUUGCAAAGAAGAAAACAAGGCUCCAAGAGCAAUGAUGAAAUCUCUGACUCCUCUGCCUCUGCUUCUGCUUCAUAGGCUUCUGUCAUCCAUGCCCACCACAAAUUCAGAGCCAAAGCUGCAAUAUCCAUCUACAUUUUUUAUUUUCGGAUUUUGUUAUGCUGUUGUGGACUCUGGUUGACGACUCGAUUUGUAUAUGGUUUUUUGUUUUCAGGAAGCGGAUAAGGAGCAGAAGAGGAAUCAGUCAUGGAACAAGCUAGAAAUCAAGGUCAUGCUUUCAAGGAAAUUGCCUCAAGAACCAAGAUCUGAAACAGAUACAAUAUGUGUGGGUAACAUUGACUUUGCAUCUCUUACCUUGGACUAUAAAUAUUGCUCGAGAACUGAUCUCAAAGUCCCGACCAGAAAUGAAUGAUGGACAUGAGAAGUAGAUGAUUGCUAUCAUUGUCUCGAUCACAGUAGUGAAUUUUCUGCCCAUGGUCUUACUGUAAAAGAUUUAAAAAUGAAAUUGUAUGGGCAGGGUGAAUUUCAUUGAACCUUGAAGAUAGCAAUAUUGACAACGUAGGGUGAAUUAGUGGCUGUGCUAAAAUGUUAUCGUUUGAAAAAUUGUGGAAAAACUGAAUGAAUGUGAAAAAGGCCAGACUCUUUCGAUAAAUGAUCGAGUCAAUGAGCAUUACUUAAAGGCUAAAUUUAAGUAUAGAUCAAGUUCUUAAAUUUGAUUUUAGAUUUUAGCUAAUUGUAGUAGUUAAACAUAUAACAUUCCCGCACGAUGGCAUCGCGCGAGGGUUGAUGCCUAGUCCACAUUGAUUGCUGUCUUGUGAGAUUGGAACUUCAGUUUUGGUGAGUUGUUGUGUCCAUGGU
rnacentral:lncRNA from 1 species